UGGACCUUGGCUAAAUGGGACAGCGGCCGGUUGUUACCCGGAUGAUGACCAGGUUCGAUUCCUGGAGGUUCAG
rnacentral:tRNA from 1 species